GGGCGAGUAGCUUAUCGGAAGCGUCAGCUCUAAAUGAAUCAUAUAAAGAUCCAUUGCUCUGCACGGAGGUUCAAAUCCCCCCUCGUCCA
rnacentral:tRNA from 1 species